rnacentral:rRNA from 1 species
GACGAACGCUGGCGGCGUGCUUAACACAUGCAAGUCGAACGGAAAGGCCCUGCUUUUGUGUGGUGCUCGAGUGGCGAACGGGUGAGUAACACGUGAGUAACCUGCUCUUGACUUUGGGAUAACUUCAGGAAACUGGGGCUAAUACCGGAUAGGAGCUCCUGCUGCAUGGUGGGGGUUGGAAAGUUUCGGCGGUUCGGGAUGGACUCGCGGCUUAUCAGCUUGUUGGUGGGGUAGUGGCUUACCAAGGCUUUGACGGGUAGCCGGCCUGAGAGGGUGACCGGGCACAUUGGGACUGAGAUACGGCCCAGACUCCUACGGGGGGCAGCAGUGGGGAAUAUUGCGCAGUGGGCGGAAGUCUGAGGCAGCAACGCCGCGUGCGGGAUGAAGGCCUUCGGGUUGUAAACCGCUUUCGCCUGUGACGAAGCGUGAGUGACGGUAAUGGGUGAAGAAGCACCGGCUAACUACGUG